GACGAACGCUGGCGGCGUGCCUAAUACAUGCAAGUAGGACGCAGUUGCGAACGGGUGAGUGACGCGUAGGUAACUGCCUAUUAGAGGGGGAUAACUAUUGGUAACGAUAGCUAAUACCGCAUACUAGUAGAUGGACCUGCGUUGUAUUAUGUAGUAGGUAGGGUAAUGGCCUACCUAGGCGACGAUACAUAGCCGACCUGCGAGGGGGAGGGGCCACACUGAGAAUGGAAGACGGGCCAGACUGCGACGGGAGGCAGCAGUAGGGGAUUGUCGGCAAUGGGGGGAACCCUGAGCGAGCAACGCCGCGGGAGUGAGGAAGGUUUUCGGAUCGUAAAGCUCUGUUGUUAGGGAAGCGGUACGUAACCAGAAAGGGACGGCUAACUCCGGACCAGCAGCCGCGGUAAUAC
rnacentral:rRNA from 1 species